UGCGGGUCGAGGUGCGGCAGCAGCGGCAGGCCGGUCCACGCCUGGUCGUGGAUCUUGUGGUGGACCAGGCCGGCGUUCGGCUUGCCGGCCGGCACC
rnacentral:tRNA from 2 species